rnacentral:rRNA from 1 species
UACGUAGGGUGCGAGCGUUAAUCGGAAUUACUGGGCGUAAAGCGUGCGCAGGCGGUUUUGUAAGCCAGAUGUGAAAUCCCCGGGCUUAACCUGGGAAUGGCAUUUGGGACUGCAAGGCUGGAGUGUGGCAGAGGAGACUGGAAUUCCUGGUGUAGCAGUGAAAUGCGUAGAUAUCAGGAGGAACACCGGUGGCGAAGGCGGGUCUCUGGGCAACAACUGACGCUGAGGAGCGAAAGCGUGGGGAGCGAACAGG